ACUUACGGUUCUGCUUGUUGCAAGCUAAACCUUCUUUCUUUCUCUCUCUUUUUUUGCUUUUUGUUUUUUCGGGCCAAACCCACAGCAUAUGGAGGUUCCCAGGCUGGGGGUCCAAUCGAAGCUGUAGCUGCUGGCCUACGCCAGAGCCACAGCAACGCGGGAUCCGAGCCGAAUCUGCGACCUACACCACAGCUCAUGGCAACACCGGAUCCUUAACCCACUGAGCAAGGCCAGCGACCGAACCCACAACCUCAUGGUUCCUAGUCAGAUUCCUUAACCACUGCGCCACGACGGGAACUCCCAGUUUACUUUUCAGGAAAGUAAACUGAGGCUGAGAGGAAGGGAAUAACUGCCUAACAGCCCACAGCUAGUGAGUGGUUAUGGCAGGUUGCAUGUCUCCUCCCCAGAGUUCUCCACAUCUUCAUCUUGGGACCCUGGGAAUAUGCUGCCUGGCAAAGGGGAAUUAAGGGUGCAGAUGGAAUUAAGGGCACUAAUCAGCUGACCUUGAGAUGGGGAGGGUCUCCUGAACUCUCUGGCUGGUCUCAAUGUAAUCAAAGGGCCCUCGUCAUAAACAAAAAGAGGCAGGUAAGAGAAUAAGUCUCGGACGGAGACUCCAGGGGCCAACGCUGGCGUUGGAAGGUGGAGGAAAGGGGCCAUGAGCCACUGGGCAGCCUCUAGAGGCUACAAAAGGCAACAGAACAGAUUCUUUCUCGAGCCCUGGAAAGACCACGGCUAUGAGACCCCUUCAGGGUCAGCCCCGUGAGGCCCAUUUUAGACUUGUGACCUCCACAACUGCGAGAUCAUGGUUAGUUGAGUGGCUGAGGUGGCUUCAGCGAAGCUUGACGUUUAUCUUACCUUUGAGAUCAGUUCCACCUGCCCAGUGAGCAGGAAAUCAAAAACCAGGGGCACGUCUAGGUGUCCGGGGGCUGCAGCUCCUUUGGAUGGUCCAUAAGAUGUUACUGGAUAAUUUCCUGUCCUGGGACCACUUUGUGAAAUAAAAACUUCCCUCCAAAGGAGAGACUAUCUCCUAUUUCACUUAUAAAUCAAGUAAACUCCUGUUCUUUGACUUGAAGUAAAUAACCUCUCUCCUCCUCUCAGCAAAUGUCUUCCUCUUGGUCUCUGCUGUUGCCACCACCUUCUGACAGUCAGAAAAAUAUUGAGCUCAUUUUUUUCCCUUUACUUUUUCUUUCUUUCUUUCUUUUUUUCUUUUUCUUUUUCUUUUCUUUCUUUUUUUUUUUUUAAUGGGUCCACCUGCAUCACAUGAAGUUUCAGGGCCAGGGGUUGAAUUGUAUCUGUAUCAUCGGCCUACACCACAGCCACAGCAAGGCAGGAUCUGAGCUGCAUCUGCGGAAAGCUACACUGCAGCUUCUGGCAAUGCCAGAUUCUUAACACACUGAGCGAGGCCAGGGAUUGAACCCGCAUUCUCAUGGACGCCAUGUCAGGUUCUUAACCCGCAGAGCCAUCACAAAAACUCCCAAAUGUAUUAAAUAAAACCACAAAACCCCGUAAUACAGGAAACACUUUUAUGGAGCCCUUGCUAUGUGUAAGGAAACUUCAACAUGUUAGUUCUUGUAAUCCCCACACUGACUCUGUGUCAUUAGUCUUCUUCCCAUAUUGAGGCUAAAGGGAUGGAUGCUCAGAGAUGAUACAUAUUUUGCCCAAGAUCACCCAGGACUGGAAGUGAGAGUCUUACCCACAUUGGUCUGAUGCUAGAGCUCCCUGUGUUUACACACCACACUGCUACUGCUUUCACCUCUGUUCUUGGACUUUCCAUCUAGAUUAUGAACCUUGGAAAAGAAACAAUUUACCUCUUAUUUAGAAAAUAGCAAAAGAAGGUGACUACAUAAUUUUAAAUAGUAAUUGUUGUAUACGUAUUUCAAUUUAAAACAGAACUGUGGAGGGAGUUCCCAUUGUGGCUCAACAGGUUAAGGACCUGACAUAGUGUCUUUGAGGACGUGGCUUCGAUCCCUGGCCUCGCUCAGUAGGUUACGGACCUGGUGUUGCCAAAAACUAUGGCACAGAUCAAAGGCGUGGCUCGGAUCUGGUGCUGCUGUGGUUGUGGCGUAGGCCUGCAGCUACAGCUCCAAUUCAACCUCUGGCCUGGGAACCUCCAUAUGCCGCAGGUGUGGCUGCAAAAAGAAAAAAAUAUAAAUAAGGACUGUGGAAUUUUCCUUGUUGGUCAUCUUAAGUGGGUACAGAUGACCAACAGGUCAUGUUAUAAACUAGAGACCCAUCCAAGGCCUUACAUAGAAUAGGGGCCAGAGUUGGAAUGAGGCCCCAGGAUUCCUACCUCUUAAUCUUGUGUUCUUUCUUCUACUACAAUACACAUCAUUCAAUUUAUGACCCGAAAAAAGGAGUUUUCAACAGUCUAAACCUAACAGUGUGAGGUCAGAUGAGAAGCAGAUGGUGACAAAGAACGCCUCCUCUCUGUACCUUCUUGUCACUCAGCACAACCCAUGGGGAUGUUUCUCUGUUUUGUUUAGCAUUCAGCAGUUCGUUCUGGAUUCCCAGAAAUGCUUAUUCAUUUCACCAGACCUGAGAGCCAGAUAUAGUUCGUGGGAGGACAUUUUAUUAAUUUUCCUUUAUUUCUUUGUCCCUGCUUAAUGUACAGUUUGAGAACAAGAAUGCUCAUCAGGUUGUAAUGCCUAACUGAAUAAAAAGCAGCACUCCAGACCGCUUUGGUUGAAAGCUUCUUAAUAUGUUUAUCUACUUAGCUUUUAAAUCUUUCCGUAUUUUCUUAUUCCUUCAAUACAGUUUUUGCAGGUACAGAGUCUAUUUCUCCUCAAAUCACCAACCGCACAAUUCAGCAAACCAAUUGUAUGUUUUGUUGGCCUGACUGUGGGUGAUCGAAUUACCCUUUGUUCCCCAUUCUCCUCCCUUGGUAUCGACCAGGAAGGAAAGUAGUCGGGAAAAGAGAGCACUCAAGAAUUCAGACAUUAAAAGUUCCCUGGUUAAAAAAGAAACAACAACAACAACAAAAACCAGAAAGAGUUUCCUGGUGGCUCAGUAGGUUAAGGAUCCAGCAUUGCUACUGCCGUGGCUCAUAUCCCUGCUGUGGUGCAUGUUUCAGGGCCAAAAAACCCAAACCAAACAUUAUAAAAAAGAGAGACAGAGAAUUCAGGGAGCUCCCGUUGAGGUUCAGUGGGUUACGAACCCAACUAGUAUCCGAGAGAAUGCAGGCUCAAUCCCUGGCCCUGCUCAGUGUGCUAGGGAUCUGGCAUUGCUGUGAGCUGUAGUUUAGGUCGUAGAUGUGGCUUGGAUCCUGCGUGGCUGUGGCUGUAGGGCAGGCUGGCAGCUGCAACUCUGAUAUAACUCUUAGCCUGGGAACUUCCAUAUGCCUCGGGUGCAGCCUUAUAAAGAAAAAAAAAAAAA
rnacentral:lncRNA from 1 species